CACCGCACAAGGACCGAAUUAGUGGUGGGGAGCGGCUGAAGCUGUGAAUGCCGGGAGGAUGGGAGUGAACAAAGGAGAGAGAGAUCAUUUCACUUGAGAUGUGAGUGGAAUUCUGGAUGGACAGAAAGACUGCCGGGAGACGAGAAAGGGCGAGGGCAGAAGGUAACCCACGUAGAAACACAGAUUCCAUCUGACUCAUCCCUACCUUGCAGUGUGUUUUUAAAUGCACUCUUGGCUGGACUCUGCCUGGCUAAUGAAAUGGCUAAAGAGGACCUAACCCAGUUUUCUAAUCCCAACUUCUCAGAAGCUCUAGGGAAAAGGGUGAAACCUGCCUGCUCCCUGACUAUCAGCUAACUGUGAGUCUUCCCUUGUGCAGAAGUAACUUGCUCUUCAGCUGCAUCUGUCGUUUUCCUGAUCUCAGAGACAGACGUCCAACUCACCAAUGCCAAUGCCUUCCUUACACAAAGCUCCUGAGCUUCAAGGUCAACCACUGGGUUUUCCUUUUCUUUUCUCUGCCCACGCUUGAAGCAAAUGCGUACUGAGUGCAAGCUGGAACAGAUCCUGGCUAGAGGAGUGUGACCAGCAGUAGAAUAUGAAAAUAAUAAUCAUGCUGAUAUUAAUAAUUUACUGAGGCCUAUUAGCUGGGCUUAAGCACUUUCAUAUAUCAGCUCACUUCAUUCUCACAGGAGCACACCAGGAGAGUUUAAUUAAAAUCUCAAAAGCCAAAGGCUGGAGCUCAGCAGGCUGGGAGCUGAGGCUCCCAAAUAUUAAGCCUAAAAUGGGAAUUUUCUACAGAUAUUUUUGUAGUCAUCAGGGUUAGGGUUUUCUAUAGCCACGGCUACAAAUGUAAUGGCUUACAGGACACAUGGAUGCAUCUUUCCAAGUUCUCUCCUGCAGUUGUCUCCUGGCUCUGACUGCUGCCUCCCUUUUCCAGGGUAAAGACUUCUGUGAGCAUAUCAGACCCCAGGAAACCCAAGCUAGAACCCCGACGUUAUGAUCAGCAGCCUUAGCUUUCCUGUGCUCUGCAGAGCAAUACACUCAGUUUCAGCCAUAUAUUAGCACUGGUUAUUUAUCAAAACUCCCCCAAUGCUCCUGACAAGAAACACAAAAAUCUCAAAUGCUGGAAAAAAAAAAGAGUGAUAAAUAAGAGAAGAUUUAUAAUAAUAAAUAAAGAAGAAAAAAGCAUGUGGUCAGAUCAGAAGAAGGCGCUGAGAGAAGAAUUCAUAUUGGGUGAAUUAAGGUGUAUCUGAGACCCACUUCAAAUCCAGACACUGUUCAUGGCCUCCUUUAGUCCUUCACAGAGUCCUUAUAUCAGAAUUCUCCUGCCACAUCCCUAGGAAAAACCAAACCUGCCUGGGAUGGAUGGCUAUUCUUGGUUGUCAACUUGACUGUGUCUGUAAUGGACCACAACCCAGAAAUGGAGGCCACACUUGUGGUCCAGAUCUUGAGGCAGGAAGGCACACCUUUAAUCUGGGCCACACCUGCUGGAAGGACAAUGGAAGACCGAAGGGGGUGUGCUCACCCUUCACCUGAUUGCCCUCACCUUGUCAGCACACCCAUUCCUUCACUGGCCCUGGAACCUCCUUCUUCGGGACUCCAGCAUCUACAGAAGACCAGCUGAGACACUCGGCCUCAUGGGACUGUGCAACUCUAGACUCUUGGACUUUCCAUUCACAGCUAGCCAUUGUCAGACUGCAGCCUCCUCCUAUAAGGAGCAAGACCAUCCUUUUCAUCUUGCCCCUUCAACAAAACCCCUCUUGGAAUCCUGUUUUCUGUGUGAGUUGGCACAUGAGCUGGGGAAGAAAGCCAGAAGGAGGCGGGUAGGGAGUUUCAGAGACGGCAAAUCCACUGCUUGCAGCAAUGCCCACCCUGUCCUGGGUACCGCACCCUUACCAGUGAUCACCCUUGUGUGCUUAAUCAGAUUAAAGGCCCCCAAGAAAGCCCUUUCAUUCCCUGUCACACAAGGGUGAGCAAUGAAAUAACCAAUAUAGCAGUACCGCACUGGGGAUGAGAAACAAGCACUGUGGACUGUGUCCCCAGCACCUUGGUGAUCUCCCUGGUCCUGCCUGCUUGCUCCCUCAAAGGCAGCUCUGCUGUGGACGGGUGACAUUAUGGGAUAGAAUCUGCGGCAAGAACGCCCGUCUAUUAUGUAAACACAAGGGGCAUUAAGUGCAAGGCUUCAUAUAUAUCAAAAAAUAUAAUGGGGGAGAUUUGUAUAUCCCAUGAAUAUUUAAUUCUUCUGAAAGCUAACUAUCUGCAUAUCAGACUACACCAAUGCAUGUGUGUGAAUUUUUUUUCUCUGUUGUCUUUCAAAACAAAGCAGACAAUUUUUUCCCUUCCUGUGGUGCCCUGGAAGUUGCUUAACUGUGCAUUGAUCCCUUUGAUCUACCGAGUGUGUGUAUUUUAAGACAAAGUCCGCGGUGCUACUCCCAUCUGUGUGGAGGAAGCAGAACAAUGAGAGGAAACCAGGUCGCUUUCCAUUGUUUUCCUCGUGACCUGGAUCACAAUUUACUGAUGUCUUGAAUGCUGUUUAACUUUUGCUGGUGUCUUUUUAAUCAUAGCAUUCAUGUGAAUUUAAAAAGAGCUCCUUGAUAUGCAACCACUGUGUAGCAUGAUAUCCCGCCCGCCCUGUUGCACUGCAGAAGCCUGCAGCUGCCUGCAGCUGCCUGAAGCUUAAUUAUGCAUGCAUGCAUGCAAAGCCCAGAUGCUCAGCCAAGAGUGCCUCAACUACAACAGUUUCUCACUUGUUUUUGUUUGAAUUAUAAUUGGGCAGAUCUGUAUUCCUCAGCCCGGUUUGUAGCUGGAACAUGCUCCUCUUCGCCUCUGUUGCUACCUGUGUUUGACACAGCUUCUUCACCAAGGAGCCCUUUGUGGAUGCCGCCAUGUGCCUCUGAGAUCUGAGUAGGGUCAUUUACAGGCUUGAUGAAAUCUUUUACUUACGCAACAAUUUUAAAGGGUACAAAAAAUGACCUGAGCCCCAGCAGGUUUUCCUCCAGAUGGUUUGUAGCUGAAAGAAAGAAAAGGAUGGCGAACUAGAAGCUGGCAUUGGGAUAGAAACAAAGGAGGCUGAGAGCCAGGCGGCCAUGCUAGGAAGGAAACUCACACCUGCAGGAAGACUGUGCUGGGGUUGACUUGUUAGCCAUGCCCAUCUUCUACUCAGAGAACAUUUGGGGAGCUGCUUUGCAGCCACCUCAGGGACCUCAGUCUCCAGCACGAACAUGGCUCCUGUGUCAAUGAUGCUGAGUAUGUCAUGGUACUCUCCAGACCACUUUACUGACAACUGAGCAGAGCAGGAGCUUCCCACAGAGGACGCUCGCUGCUGCUUAGACUGUCUCCAAGGCUCAUCCAGAGACAUCAGCUCCGUGUUCCAACUGAGCAGCAAGCGAAAGACAAAGAUUGAGUUCACUGCAAGGGGUGGUGUUUUGUGAUCUCAUAGCGAUUUUGCACAUGUGUACAGAUAUGUGCUUGUGUGUGUGUGUGUGUGUGUGUGUGUGUGUGUGUGUGUGUACCAACUGCAGACUUACACUGAAGUUUCAAAAGUAAGCAGAAAUCUAUUGUAGGAUAAUUACCCAUGAUAAUCUUAAGAAUCAUAUAGAACCAGGAUAUAGAUAGAUAGAUAGAUAAAUGGAUAAGAUAGAUAAAUAGAUAGAUAGAUAUAGACAUAUACAUACCUAAAUACAUAUAUAAACAUAUGUUUUCUUCACCUCUGUUGCUGUUUCUGUUUGACUCAGCUUCUUUUGUCAACACUGUGUGCCUCUGAGAUCUGCAAACAGUCGUUUGUGGACUCAUCACAUCUUUUACCUACACAGCAAAUUUGAAGAUAAAAAAAAUGACCCUAGCCCCAGCAGGUCU